CCUACGGGAGGCAGCAGUGGGGAAUUUUGGACAAUGGGCGCAAGCCUGAUCCAGCCAUGCCGCGUGUGGGAAGAAGGCCUUCGGGUUGUAAACCACUUUUGUCAGGGAAGAAACGGUCUGAACUAAUACUUUGGACUAAUGACGGUACCUGAAGAAUAAGCACCGGCUAACUACGUGCCAGCAGCCGCGGUAAUACGUAGGGUGCAAGCGUUAAUCGGAAUUACUGGGCGUAAAGCGUGCGCAGGCGGCUUUGCAAGACAGAUGUGAAAUCCCCGGGCUCAACCUGGGAACUGCAUUUGUGACUGCAUGGCUAGAGUACGGUAGAGGGGGGAUGGAAUUCCGCGUGUAGCAGUGAAAUGCGUAGAUAUGCGGAGGAACACCGAUGGCGAAGGCAAUCCCCUGGACCUGUACUGACGCGUCAUGCACGAAAGCGUGGGGAGCAAACAGGAUUAGAUACCCUGGUAGUCCACGCCCUAAACGAUGUCAACUGGUUGUUGGGAGGGUUUCUUCUCAGUACGAAGCUAACGCGUGAAGUUGACGCCUGGGAGUACGGCGCAGGUUGAAACUCGAAAUUGAAUUGAGG
rnacentral:rRNA from 1 species